CUGCUUGUGCAGGAUCUGAAAGCAGAUACUACAGGGAGGGCAGAGACAUGGUGGAGCAACUAAAGCCACUGGAACACACAUAUUCAAGGGUCAGCUCUUGCCUAAGAAGAGCCGAAUGGCACAUCUCUGCAGAACCCCGGUCAUGGAGGAUCUACCGACAGCAAAUUAGCCAUCAGUUUAAUGCAAGCAUGUCAGUGGAGGUAGGCAGCAGCUGGUAAUGACUGUUCCUCACCAAAAACUGCUGAAAAUUUGGGGACUUUCUAGCAUCACCGUUUCAAGGAAAAACAACAGUGUUCCAAAAAAGGAUGUAUUUUUUAAAAGACUUCAUUUAAAUAAAGUUCCAG